GACGAACGCUGGCGGCGUGCUUAACACAUGCAAGUCGAGCGAUGAAGCACCUUCGGGUGUGAAUUAGCGGCGAACGGGUGAGGAACACGUGAGAAAUCUGCCUUCAACUCUGGGAUAACUCCGUGAAAACGGGGCUAAUACCGGAUAUGAAACCUGCGGGCAUCCGCGGGUUUGGAAAGUUUUUCGGUUGAAGAUGAUCUCGCGGCCUAUCAGCUUGUUGGUGAGGUAAUGGCUCACCAAGCCGACGACGGGGAGCCGGCCUGAGAGGGCGACCGGCCACACUGGGACUGAGACACGGCCCAGACUCCUACGGGAGGCAGCAGUGGGGAAUAUUGGGCAAUGGAGGAAACUCUGACCCAGCGACGCCGCGUGCGGGAUGAAGGCCUUCGGGUUGUAAACCGCUUUCAGCAGGGAAGAAGCGAAAGUGACGGUACCUGCAGAAGAAGCACCGGCUAACUAUGUGCCAGCAGCCGCCGUAA
rnacentral:rRNA from 1 species